rnacentral:rRNA from 1 species
UACGUAGGGGGCAAGCGUUGUUCGGAAUCAUUGGGCGUAAAGCGCGUGUAGGCGGCCUUGUAAGUCCGUUCUGAAAGCCCGGGGCUCAACCCCGGGAGGCGGAUGGAUACUGCAAGGCUCGAGUACGGAAGAGGCGAGUGGAAUUCCCGGUGUAGCGGUGAAAUGCGCAGAUAUCAGGAGGAACACCGAUGGCGAAGGCAGCUCGCUGGGACGGUACUGACGCUGAGGCGCGAAAGCGUGGGGAGCGAACAGG